rnacentral:rRNA from 1 species
GCAAGGGAGCCGAGAGACAGGUGCUGCAUGGCUGUCGUCAGCUCGUGCCGUGAGGUGUUGGGUUAAGUCCCGUAACGAGCGCAACCCCGCCGUUAGUGCCAGCGGUUCGGCCGGGCACUCUAACGGGACUGCCCGCGAAAGCGGGAGGAAGGAGGGGACGACGUCUGGUCAGCAUGGCCCUUACGGCCUGGGCGACACACGUGCUACAAUGCCCACUACAAAGCGAGGCCACCCGGCAACGGGGAGCUAAUCGCAAAAAGGUGGGCCCAGUUCGGAUUGGGGUCUGCAACCCGACCCCAUGAAGCCGGAAUCGCUAGUAAUCGCGGAUCAGCCAUGCCGCGGUGAAUACGUUCCCGGGCCUU